rnacentral:rRNA from 1 species
AGUGCGAAGCGAAGCGGAUAAAGAGCUUGCUCUUAUGACGUUAGCGGGGGAAGGGUGACUAACACGUGUGUAACCUGCCCAUAACAGUGGGAUAACUCCGGGAAACCGGGGCUAACACCUGAGGACAUUUUGAACCGCAAGGUUCGAAAUUGAGUGGCGGCCUCCGCUGUCACUUAGGGAUAGACCCGCGUCGCAAUAGCUAUGUGGUGAGGUAACGGCUCACCAAGGCAACGAUGCGUAGCCGACCUGAGAGGGUGAUCGGGCCACACUGGUGACUGAGACAAGGCCCAGACUCCUACGGGAGGCAGCAGUAGGGAUCUUCCGCAAUGGACGAAAGUCUGACGGAGCAACGCCGCGCUGAGUGAUGAAGGCUUUCGCGGUCGUAAAACUCUUUUGUUAGGGAAGAACAAGUGCUAGUUGAAUAAGCUGGCACCUUGACGGUACCUAACCAGAAAGCCACGGCUAACUACGUGCCAGCAGCCGCGGUAAUACGUAGGUGGCAAGCGUUAUCCGGAAUUAUUGGGCGUAAAGCGCGCGCAUGUGGUUUCUUAAGUCUGAUGUGAAAGCCCACGGCUCAACCGUGGAGGGUCAUUGGAAACUGGGAGACUUGAGUGCAGAAGAGGAAAGUGGAAUUCCAUGUGUAGCGGUGAAAUGCGUAGAGAUAUGGAGGAACACCAGUGGCGAAGGCGACUUUCUGGUCUGUAACUGACACUGAGGCGCGAAAGCGUGGGGAGCAAACAGGAUUAGAUACCCUGGUAGUCCACGCCGUAAACGAUGAGUGCUAAGUGUUAGAGGGUUUCCGCCCUUUUAGUGCUGAAGUUUAACGCAUUAAGCACUCCCGCCUGGGGAGUACGGCCGCAAGGCUGAAACUCAAAGGAAUUGACGGGGGGCCCGCACAAGCGGGUGGAGCCAUGUGGUUUUAAUU